rnacentral:rRNA from 1 species
CCUACGGGUGGCAGCAGUGAGGAAUAUUGGUCAAUGGGCGCGAGCCUGAACCAGCCAAGCAGCGUGAAGGAUGACUGCCCUACGGGUUGUAAACUUCUUUUUUACAAGAAUAAAGUGAGGCACGUGUACCUUUCUGUAUGUACUUUAUGCAUAAGGAUCGGCUCACUCCGUGCCAGCAGCCGCGGUAUUACGGAGGAUCCGAGCGUUAUCCGGAUUUAUUGGGUGUAAAGGGUGCGUAGAUGGGUUGAUAAGUCAGUUGUGAAAGUUUGCGGCUCAACUGUAGAAUUGCAAUUGAUACUGGCAGUCUUGAGUGCAGUUGAGGUAGGCGGAAUGCGUGGUGUAGCGGUGAAAUGCUUAGAUAUCACGAAGAACACCGAUUGCGAAGGCAGCUUACUAAACUGCCACUGACAUUGAGGCACGAAAGUGUGGGGAGCAAACAGGAUUAGAUACCCUGGUAGUC